AUCCAAAUGCAAUUCAAAGCGAACAAAGUCGCACUUCAAUUUAAAUAAAAGGUGCAUGCGAGAAAGCCCAAGGCUUACUCAGAGUUUAAAGGGUUACAUAAAACCACUCGGCAUGCCGAGGCGAAUUGAAACUUAAGAGUUUUUUCCGAGGUUCACUCAAAGGACGGAGACCCCACUGCCUCCACGAAGGUAUCAAGAUCGAUGUCGUCGGCGAUCCGGGUGGCCGCCUCCCUGAACAUCUCGAUGACGUCCUCAAACUUGAUGCUCUUCUUGAUGACCACUCGAAGGUUCUUCAGCUUCUCCUCAUCCACCCCCUGCAGUGGAUUCGGACGAGCGAGAGGCCGAUGUCCGCUCCAGCACGAGCCGCCGACUUCUUCCAAGACUGAAGGUGCCCGGGAAUAGCUUUCGCUCGAUCAAAAAUCGUGUGAGCAUCCUUCAUGGGUUCUUCUUUAGGGCCGGUCCCCUCAUCAACCUCCGCCAUAGCCGAAUGGAUCCAUCUGAAGUAGCCCAGCGCGUAAUCGAUGCGAGCUUCUAGUCGGAGGAGAGUGAUGGCAGUACUGUCCUUCAUAAGCCCAGUCUUCGGGUUCAGUUCCUUCUCAAUCGAAGUCGUCUCCUCCUCGAGAUCCACACAGAAAGAUGGAUUCAAUCAAAGACAAAGGAUGAAGAUCAUCACUCGAAAAUGACAAGACAACAAUAGAAAUC
rnacentral:lncRNA from 1 species